GCCCCUUUAGUCUAGUGGAUAGGACACGGCCCUGCGGAGGCUGUAACCCGGGUUCGAAUCCCGGAAGGGGCA
rnacentral:tRNA from 1 species